GUCUUUUCAGGUUGUUUGGAAGGUCUUCCCUGCCCGGUGAUUUCAUUUUAACGGCCGCGGUAUUUUGACCGUGCAAAGGUAGCAUAAUCAUUAGUCUUUUAAUAGAGGGCUGGAAUGAAAGGGUUGACGAGGCACUAACUGUCUCAUAUAUAUGUAUUUUAAAAUUUAGCUUUUAAGUUAAAAGGCUUAAAUUUUAUUGGAAGACGAGAAGACCCUAUAGAGCUUUAUAAACUAUUUAGUAUUAAUUUUGUUAAUAAUUUGUUUUUAUUUAUUUAUUUUAUUUUGUUGGGGUGACAAAAACAUAGGCAUAACUGUUUUAUUUUUAAAUCCAUUUAUUUAUGAUUGUUAGAUCCAUUAAUAUUGAUUUUUAGAUUAAGUUACCUUAGGGAUAACAGCGUAAUCUUCUUUUGGAGUUCUCAUUUACAAGAAGGCUUGCGACCUCGAUGUUGGAUUAAGAUGAUAGUUAAGUGUAGUAGCUUAAUUAAUAGGUCUGUUCGACCUUUAAAUUCUUACAUGAUCUGAGUUCAGACCGG
rnacentral:rRNA from 1 species